UACGGAGGGUGCGAGCGUUGUCCGGAUUUAUUGGGUUUAAAGGGUGCGUAGGUGGCUUUAUAAGUCAGUGGUGAAAUACAGCCGCUUAACGGUUGAGGUGCCAUUGAUACUGUGGAGCUUGAAACAAGUGGAGGCUGCCGGAAUGGAUGGUGUAGCGGUGAAAUGCAUAGAUAUCAUCCAGAACACCGAUUGCGAAGGCAGGUGGCUACGUUUGAUUUGACACUGAGGCACGAAAGCAUGGGGAGCAAACAGG
rnacentral:rRNA from 1 species